AUUGAACGCUGGCGGCAUGCCUUACACAUGCAAGUCGAACGGUAACAGGUCUUCGGAUGCUGACGAGUGGCGAACGGGUGAGUAAUACAUCGGAACGAGCCCGAGAGUGGGGGAUAACGAGGCGAAAGCUUUGCUAAUACCGCAUACGAUCUCAGGAUGAAAGCAGGGGACCGCAAGGCCUUGCGCUCACGGAGCGGCCGAUGGCAGAUUAGGUAGUUGGUGGGAUAAAAGCUUACCAAGCCGACGAUCUGUAGCUGGUCUGAGAGGACGACCAGCCACACUGGGACUGAGACACGGCCCAGACUCCUACGGGAGGCAGCAGUGGGGAAUUUUGGACAAUGGGCGCAAGCCUGAUCCAGCCAUGCCGCGUGCAGGAUGAAGGCCUUCGGGUUGUAAACUGCUUUUGUACGGAACGAAAAGACUCUGGUUAAUACCUGGGGUCCAUGACGGUACCGUAAGAAUAAGCGCCGGCUAACUACGUGCCAGCCGCCGCGGUAACAC
rnacentral:rRNA from 1 species